UGAGGAAUAUUGGUCAAUGGGGGCAACCCUGAACCAGCCAAGUCGCGUGAAGGAUGAAGGUCUUAUGGAUUGUAAACUUCUUUUACACGGGAAUAAAGCAGGGGACGUGUCCCUCUUUGCAUGUACCGUGUGAAUAAGGAUCGGCUAACUCCGUGCCAGCAGCCGCGGUAAUACGGAGGAUCCGAGCGUUAUCCGGAUUUAUUGGGUUUAAAGGGUGCGCAGGCGGGAUGUUAAGUCGGCGGUGAAAUUUUGCAGCUCAACUGUAAAAGUGCCUUCGAUACUGGCCUUCUUGAGUGUGGAUGAAGUAGGCGGAAUUUGUGGUGUAGCGGUGAAAUGCUUAGAUAUCACGAGGAACUCCGAUUGCGCAGGCAGCUUACUAAGCCACAACUGACGCUCAUGCACGAAGGCGUGGGGAUCAAACA
rnacentral:rRNA from 1 species